GCUCCGGUGAAACAAGGAACGAAGCAGAGCAAAAAGGAAGAGGAGAAGCAAAAUUACUAUGUUAAUAUGGGCUAUGCGAUUAGGACUUUGAGAGAGGAGUUUCCCGAACUUUUUUAUAGGCAGCUCAGUUUUGUUAUCUACAGGUAUCCUCAAUUCACGGAAAUUCGACAGUUGACCGGGUCUGUGAAUUUUCGGCCAGACAGACCCGUUAUCGGAAAAGUCUCCGAAUUGGACCGAGGUUUUAGCUACCCCCCAUUGUCAGACGUCCCGAGCGCGUUCCCGAAGUCAGAAUCGGCAAAGGUAAACCCGAACCUUGCUUUUUCGUAAUUUUCUAGUGCUUAAAUAUGAUUAAAAAUUCAUAAAAUAUUUGUGGUAGCUCAGAAAAUUAUGAUUCUUUUUGCAAUAGCCUAUUAAUAUUGCUAAGGACUGCGGUGCAAAGUUUUAGAAUUUUUAGAGCUUGUUUGGGUAGUUUUUGCAAAAAUGAUCAAUUAUAAAGACUAAAUUGAAAUUUUACAUAUUGUAAUGGGUGACUGAUUUGAUGGGCCCAGGAGGGGCUUUGUGAUGUGCUUGAGUUGUAAAAAUAUGGAUUGUGAAUAUAGAAGUGUGUUUUGAGCCAUUUUGCAGGUUGGGUAGGUCCUAGGUAAAGGGGAGAAUCUGCCGGAUUUUCGGCACGACUUAGGACGUAUUUGGUCUUUUCUUGAUUGUAUUGAGUCAUUUGUAUUAAAUAAUUGUAAUGUAAUUGUCAGGUGAGCCGGGACAGCCUUCUUCCUCCGCCCAGCUGCCACAGUAACCGUUGUCAAGUCUGUGAGUAAAAUAUUAAUUUUAAUUGUAAUUUUACUAUUAUUAUAUGUUCAAGCAUUCCCAUGCAUCACUUAUAUGCAUAUAUCUAUGUAGAUAAACUUUAGGCACGAUUUAUGUUGUAUUCAUAACUGUGAAAGUGCCAUGUAUGUUGCUGUGGUAAUUUGGAGCAGUGUGUAUGCGUUGGCGUGCGUGUGAUGUGGUGUGUACUAUGGAUAGGACGGGUAGACACGGCUUGAGAUCUUCGCUGGGACCCGGUCCUUCGGGGUAGACACGGCUUAAGUUCUUCGCUGGGACCCCGAUUUGGUUAUUAAGUGGAAGUCCGAGCUGAGUUCUUCGCUGGCAUAGUUGGAAUUAAGAGAGCUGUAUAGGGGAUCAACUCCCAUAUAUAUUAUGAUUGAUGUUACUGGGUGUGUGAGUGCUCCAAAUUACCUUUUUGAUAUUAUGUGAAAAUGUUGUUGAUGUUGCAUUUCACUCUACAGGAUGCAUUAGUUUUAGAUAGUUAUAGAGAUUAUGGUUAAAAUUGAUAAUUUAUUCUCUGAGUCGAACGCUCACUCCUGUUCAAUAUUUUUUCAGGCCAAAGGAGGAUAUUUUUGAGAUUAACCUGCUUUCUUCCUCGCAGGUCGAUUAUUAACGUUUUUAUAAACUUGUUAAAUCUUAGAAUUUCCGCAUGUGUUAGAAAUGUUUAUUUGAUAUAGGUCUGUAAACUAAAUUAUUAUUUUGGACCUGUAAUCUUAAUACUCUAUGCAUGUUCGAUGGAUUGGAUGA